CGAUUCAAAAAUUCUGCGUCCUUCGUCCACAAACCCUGCAUGACUGCAAGCACAAAGAACUCCAAUGAAGGUUGUUCCAUCAGGUUUUACGCCAUUUUCCCCCACAUCAUCACUAAGCAUAUCUUUAAACAGAUCAAGAGCUUCCUUCCCAAGACCUUGUUUUGCAAAAGCCAUGAUGAUGA